UGGGCAACUUGCCCCUCUCUCUGGGAUAACCCCGGGAAACCGGAGCUAAUACCGGAUACUCCGGCUGGAUCGCAUGGUCCGGCCGGGAAAGGUCCGCCGGAGAGGGAUGGGCCCGCGGCCUAUCAGCUUGUUGGUGGGGUCAUGGCUCACCAAGGCGACGACGGGUAGCUGGUCUGAGAGGACGACCAGCCACACUGGAACUGAGAUACGGUCCAGACUCCUACGGGAGGCA
rnacentral:rRNA from 1 species